rnacentral:rRNA from 1 species
AAACCAACAGGGAUUGCCUCAGUAACGGCGAGUGAAGCGGCAAAAGCUCAAAUUUGAAAUCCCCCGGGAAUUGUAAUUUGAAGGACAGGAGAACCCCUCCAAAGUAUCUUUAAGUCCAUUGGAAAAUGGCGCCACAGAAGGUGAUAGCCCUGUAAAAAGCUACUUUGUUGAUAUUUCUCCCGCCCAAAGAGUCGAGUUGUUUGGGAAUGCAGCUCUAAGUGGGUGGUAAAUUCCAUCUAAAGCUAAAUAUUGGCGAGAGACCGAUAGCGAACAAGUACAGUGAUGGAAAGAUGAAAAGCACUUUGAAAAGAGAGUGAAAAAGUACGUGAAAUUGUUGAAAGGGAAGGGCUUGCAAGCAGACACAACCUCGUGUUGGGCCAGCAUCGGGGCGAGGGGAGCCAAAAAAGUGUUGGAAUGUGGCUCUUUUAGAGUGUUAUAGCCUUCACCAAUAUCUCCAUCUCAUCCCGAGGCCUGCGAUUCUUCAAGGAUGCUGGCGUAAUGGUUGCAAGUCGC